UACGGGGGGGGUAAGCGUUGUUCGGAAUUACUGGGCGUAAAGGGCUCGUAGGCGGCCAACUAAGUCAUACGUGAAAUCCCUCAGCUUAACUGGGGAACUGCGCGUGAUACUGGAUGGCUUGGAUUUGGGAGAGGGAUGCGGAAUUCCAGGUGUAGCGGUGAAAUGCGUAGAUAUCUGGAGGAACACCGGUGGCGAAGGCGGCAUCCUGGACCAAUAUUGACGCUGAGGAGCGAAAGCCAGGGGAGCAAACGGG
rnacentral:rRNA from 1 species